rnacentral:lncRNA from 1 species
CUCUUCCUCCCCCCUCUCCAAGCCGCCUCUCCUCUCUCUCUUCCCCCCCUCUCCAAGCCGUCUCUCCUCUUCCGUUCCUCUCCUCUUUACAGGCAGCAGCAGCCGGCGACCACCACCAGACGCGACAGCAGCCGGCGACAGCCACCAGCAGCUGCAGCAAACAGCGCACGUAACAGCGACCGCCGGCGAAACCAGGAGCAGCAGCAGCUUCUCUAGCAGCAGCGACCGCCGGCGAAACCAGCAGCCAUGGCGAGCAGCAGCAGGCGGCGCCGCUCCUUCCUCCCUCUCCCGUCAUUCUCCACUUCUCCCCUCUUCUCGUCUCCUCUUCUCCUUCGUCCUCUUUUCCUUUUUUCUUCUUGCAGGGAAGCAGUCCAACAACAGUGACAGCAGCUCCGACAACGCCAGCCAGCAGCCACUCCGACCAGCAGCUAUGGCGGAACGCCGGACGAACAGCAGCAAGGACGUACAACAUUGAUUCCGGCCAGCAGCUUGACGCCAUCCUCACUUGUACCGGGAGUUUUAAAGCUUUAGCUCAUUCAAGACGGAUCUUCACAGAUCCGUCUAGGUUAGUUUCUGUUUUAGUUUUCCAUUAUAGAUAUUUAAUUUGCCUAAUGUAUGCAUGUUUUAGAUAGAUUUUGCUAUGAGCAUGAGAAUAAAUUAUGAGUUGCUUGACCUUAUGGACUGUUCUUGUUGAUUUUCUCUUGAAAAUUUGCAAAAUACAUGUGUUUUAGCCAUGUUGAAAACAAUAUUGUAUAAUAAUCAGUUUAUGUAAGUCUGCUAAAUGUGAUUUGGGUAUUGACAUGCUACUUGUAUAUUGGUUUCACUUUGAUUAUUAUUUGUUAUGAUAAGUCUUGUAAUUUUUAAUAGUAGUUGCAGAUUUCUUAUAUCUUUUUAAACAUUAUUGUCAUUUUAAUUGAUUAUUUUAUUUUACCUUGAUUGACUUCAAAUAUAUUCUUGGUUGUUAUAUUUUUGGAAAGUGAUAUUUAAUUAAGGUAAAAAGGACUGUACUGAUUUUACUCUCUACUAGUUAAGGAAAAUAAGUUUAAUUGAUCUAGUUUUCCUUGUAAAUAAAUAUUGCUCCAUAUUAAUUGAUUCCUUACUUGUUUGUAUUAUGGUAAUGAAUUAUUUUUAAAAUUUUCUGAUUUGGCUCUCUUUUAAAAUAAGGAAAAGGGAAUAUUAAUUAACUCCUUUAAAUAUUUCUUUUCCUUAUUUGUUCCCCCUCCUCUACUAUAUAAAUAAGACCCCUCCCUUCAUUUAGAGAACACCAUUCACUCUUAACCAAAAAUUCUCUUAUCACUCUCCCUCAUCUCAUUGCUCUCUUGCUACUUUAAACAACAUUAAUAUUUCUGUGAAUAUUCAAGUGUUUUUCUUCGCUAUUUUCCUACUUUGUUCGAGUAAAGGGUGAAUCAUCUUGUUUUGUUUAACAGGUUAGUAUUCUUAACAUUCAUAUUAUUUUCAUAUUCACAUAUUUGUGUAAACCAUUGUCUGUUUUUUAUAUAGAAUCCGUCAUUAAACGAUUGCAUAUUGUCUCACCUUAACUAACAAGUGUGAUUACUUGUGUAGUUAUUUAAUUACUUUGACAGGUUUCAUAUUUGAAGUUCGAGUUGAAGAUUAAUUGAAG